ensembl:lncRNA
UUCCAAAAUUCAGUUUUUUGGGACUUACAUCCGGUUCCGGUUCAAGCGCAGAUUAAUAGAACUACAGACUGAUAGCGUUACUGACGGGAAUCUACAGCGUCUUGAGCUGAAUUAAGACUUCAGAAGUCAUUCGUCAUGUCGAAUGACCAGCGGAUAAACUCUCAGGUGUUUUGUGCCAGAAAUGGAGUGUCCACUGAAGACUGAAGAUACUGAAUCUCUACGCCUUGCCAUUGAUCCCUCCUGUGCCUUCAUCUAGACAAGAGACAUUAACUUAACCACUCUCACAUGCUCUGUACCUACAUCACCUUCCCUGACAGUCGUAGCUUGGCUCAUCUGAGGGUGAAAUUAUAAGAAUGUGUUAUUUUGCAAAGUGCUCUCUAGGGUUCCUAAAUAAAAUAUGGCAUUGAGGUCAUUUCUUUUGAAUUAAUCCCUUCUGAAAUAUAAGAACCUCUCCUGGUUUAAAUGGCACUUUCUGUUCCUUACUUCCUGUUCCACUCCCAAACCCAAAUAGAUGCUGACAAGCUGACACAGUAAUAUGGAAGAGGGAGAGAAGCUGGAAAGGACUACUACAAAUAAACCCAAUGCCUA